rnacentral:misc_RNA from 1 species
GAUGAAGUACGCAGCGAAAUGCGAUAAGUAAUGCGAAUUGCAGAAUUCAGUGAGUCAUCGAAUCUUUGAACGCACAUUGCGCCCUGUGGUAUUCCGCAGGGCAUGCCUGUUCGAGCGUCAUUUCAACCCUCAAGCCUCGCUUGGUGUUGGGCCCUGCCCGCCGCGGCCGGCCCUAAAGAUAGUGGCGGCGCCGCCUGGCCCUCAGCGUAGUACAGCUCUCGCUCCAGGGUCCGGCGGCAGCCUGCCAGAACCCCCCAACUCUGUGGUUGACCUCGGAUCAGGUAGGGAUACCCGCUGAACUUAAGCAUAUCAAUAAGCGGAGGA